rnacentral:rRNA from 1 species
CAGCCGCCGCGGUAAUACGGAGGGUGCAAGCGUUAAUCGGAAUUACUGGGCGUAAAGCGUGCGCAGGCGGUUUGUUAAGACAGAUGUGAAAUCCCCGGGCUUAACCUGGGAACUGCAUUUGUGACUGGCGAGCUAGAGUAUGGCAGAGGGGGGUAGAAUUCCACGUGUAGCAGUGAAAUGCGUAGAGAUCGGGAGGAACAUCAGUGGCGAAGGCGGCCAUCUGGGACAACACUGACGCUGAGGCACGAAAGCGUGGGGAGCAAACAGGAUUAGAUACCCCCGUAGUCCCUGUCUCUUAUAC